rnacentral:rRNA from 1 species
UACGAAGGGGGCUAGCGUUGUUCGGAAUUACUGGGCGUAAAGCGCACGUAGGCGGAUUAGUAAGUCAGGGGUGAAAUCCCGGGGCUCAACCUCGGAACUGCCUUUGAUACUGCUGCUCUCGAGUCCGGAAGAGGUGAGUGGAAUUCCUAGUGUAGAGGUGAAAUUCGUAGAUAUUAGGAAGAACACCAGUGGCGAAGGCGGCUCACUGGUCCGGUACUGACGCUGAGGUACGAAAGCGUGGUGUGCAAACUGG